rnacentral:rRNA from 1 species
GAUGAACGCUGGCGGCGUGCCUAAUACAUGCAAGUCGAGCGAACGGACGAGAAGCUUGCUUCUCUGAUGUUAGCGGCGGACGUGUGAGUAACACGUGGAUAACCUACCUAUAAGACUGGGAUAACUUCGGGAAACCGGAUCUAAUACCGGAUAAUAUUUUGAACCGCAUGGUUCAAAAGUGAAAGACGGUCUUGCUGUCACUUAUAGAUGGAUCCGCGCUGCAUUAGCUAGUUGGUAAGGUAACGGCUUACCAAGGCAACGAUGCAUAGCCGACCUGAGAGGGUGAUCGGCCACACUGGAACUGAGACACGGUCAAGACUCCUACGGGAGGCAGCAGUAGGGAAUCUUCCGCAAUGGGCGAAAGCCUGACGGAGCAACGCCGAGUGAGUGAUGAAGGUCUUCGGAUCGUAAAACUCUGUUAUUAGGGAAGAACAUAUGUGUAAGUAACUGUGCACAUCUUGACGGUACCUAAUCAGAAAGCCACGGCUAACUACGUG